rnacentral:rRNA from 1 species
AUUGAACGCUGGCGGCAGGCUUAACACAUGCAUGUUGAGCGCGCGGCGGACGGGUGCGUAAUGUUUGGGAAACUGCCUGAUGGUGGGGGAUAACUACUGGAAAUGGUCUCUAAUACCGCAUACCUUCAGAUGUGCCCAGAUGGGAUUCGCUAGUAGGGGGGGUAAUGGCUCACCGAGGCGACGAGCCCUAGCUGGUCAGAGAGGAUGACCAGCCAACCUGGAACUGAGACACGGGCCAGACCCCUACGGGAGGCAGCAGGGGGGAAUAUUGCACAAUGGGAGCAAGCCUGAUGCAGCCAUGCCGGGUGGGUGAAGAAGGCCUUCGGGUUGUAAAGCACUUUCAGCGAGGAGGCGUUACUCGCAGAAGAAGCACCGGCUAACUCCGUGCCAGCAGCCGCGUAAUUG